rnacentral:rRNA from 1 species
UACGGGGGGGGCAAGCGUUGUUCGGAAUUACUGGGCGUAAAGGGCUCGUAGGUGGCCAACUAAGUCAUACGUGAAAUCCCUCGGCUUAACCGGGGAACUGCGUCUGAUACUGGAUGGCUUGAGUUUGGGAGAGGGAUGCGGAAUUCCAGGUGUAGCGGUGAAAUGCGUAGAUAUCUGGAGGAACACCGGUGGCGAAGGCGGCAUCCUGGACCAAUACUGACACUGAGGCACGAAAGCGUGGGGAUCAAACAGG